GGGGGAUAACUACUUGGUAAACGGUAGCUAAUACCGCAUAACGUCGCAAGACCAAAGAGGGGGACCUUCGGGCCUCUUGCCAUCGGAUGUGCCCAGAUGGGAUUAGCUAGUAGGUGGGGUAACGGCUCACCUAGGCGACGAUCCCUAGCUGGUCUGAGAGGAUGACCAGCCACACUGGAACUGAGACACGGUCCAGACUCCUACGGGAGGCAGCAGUGGGGAAUAUUGCACAAUGGGCGCAAGCCUGAUGCAGCCAUGCCGCGUGUAUGAAGAAGGCCUUCGGGUUGUAAAGUACUUUCAGCGGGGAGGAAGGCGAUAAGGUUAAUAACCUUGUCGAUUGACGUUACCCGCAGAAGAAGCACCGGCUAACUCCGUGCCAGCAGCCGCGGUAAUACGGAGGGUGCAAGCGUUAAUCGGAAUUACUGGGCGUAAAGCGCACGCAGGCGGUCUGUCAAGUCGGGAUGUGAAUAUCCCCGUGGCUCAACCCUGGGUAACUGCAAUUCUUAAACUGGCUAGGCUAUGA
rnacentral:rRNA from 1 species